rnacentral:rRNA from 1 species
AGAGUUUGAUCCUGGCUCAGGAUGAACGCUGGCGGCGUGCUUAACACAUGCAAGUCGAACGAUGAUGCCAGCUUGCUGGUGGAUUAGUGGCGAACGGGUGAGUAACACGUGAGUAACCUGCCCUUGACUCUGGGAUAAGCCUGGGAAACUGGGUCUAAUACCGGAUAUGACCUUCCAUCGCAUGGUGGUUGGUGGAAAGCUUUUGUGGUUUUGGAUGGACUCGCGGCCUAUCAGCUUGUUGGUGGGGUAAUGGCCUACCAAGGCGACGACGGGUAGCCGGCCUGAGAGGGUGACCGGCCACACUGGGACUGAGACACGGCCCAGACUCCUACGGGAGGCAGCAGUGGGGAAUAUUGCGCAAUGGGCGAAAGCCUGACGCAGCGACGCCGCGUGAGGGAUGACGGCCUUCGGGUUGUAAACCUCUUUCGCCAGGGACGAAGGGUGACUGACGGUACCUGGAGAAGAAGCACCGGCUAACUACGUGCCAGCAGCCGCGGUAAUAC